UGCUCUUCCAAUCUGCUUUAUUCAUAUGGUAUGUUUUCCCUGUUUGCUCAAACGGUUUAGAAAGAUUUUCUGUCUCUCC